rnacentral:rRNA from 1 species
AAAUGAAUUGACGGGGACCCGCACAAGCAGUGGAGCAUGUGGUUUAAUUCGACGCUACGCGAAGAACCUUACCAGGACUUGACAUGGAAUUAAAGGCCCUAGAGAUAGGGAGAUAGUUAUAGUUCACACAGGUGGUGCAUGGUUGUCGUCAGCUCGUGUCGUGAGAUGUUGGGUUAAGUCCCGCAACGAGCGCAACCCUCGUCUUUAGUUACCAUCAUUAAGUUGGGGACUCUAAAGAUACUGCCGAUGUUAAAUCGGAGGAAGGUGGGGAUGACGUCAAAUCAUCAUGCCCUUUAUGUCCUGGGCAACACACGUGCUACAAUGGUCGGUACAAAGAGAUGCAAUAUCGUAAGAUGGAGCAAAACUAAAAAGCCGAUCUCAGUUCGGAUUGAAGUCUGCAACUCGACUUCAUGAAGCUGGAAUUGCUAGUAAUCGUAGAUCAGCUAUGCUACGGUGAAUACGUUCCCGGGUCUUGUACACACCGCCCGU